rnacentral:lncRNA from 1 species
AUGCCGGCUGACAUCUUCCUCAGUCUAAAGAGGUCCAGAAAGAGUCUACAUCUCAGGCCACAGAAAAAGUUGUGGCUGAAAAGCCUCCUACAGCCCAACGCAAAAAAACGAGUCUUCACAGAGCAGGAGGAAAAAGACACGGGCAAUGAGGAUGUCAUUCAAACCAAGAAACCCUGCCUUGAACUACAAGAUGAGAAGGUAACAAGGGGAAGAAAGGAUGAUAUUGAAGAAGAUGACACUAACAAAGACACUACCAGGUCUGCCUAUAUUCUACUUUGAUCAUAUUUGUACACCAGAAAUCAGAGAUUGAAUCUUUCUUAACAGAUGCUUUCUCACUGCUGUCAUUUUUGUUGCGUGUUUAUUUUUGAGAAGAAAGCAGCAGCACAUUUUUCCAUGCUCAUCUAAACGCUGCUCUCAGCAGUAUCGCUGCUUGCAAAUAUUGAAAAUACAGAACUUUUUACCCAUAAGCAAAGAACGAAAAAGUGAUGAUGAGUGUAUUGUGAGCAUCAGGGCCUUUACACGACAGCUUUUUUGUUUAUUGUUGUGUAAAAUCUUUCCCACCCUAUACUGUUGUCUUAUAUUGUAGGGCCCUAUGAAAUCCAUUUAAUUUUUCCUAAUUAUGUUUAAUUUUUUUGUUUAAAUUUUUCUGGUAUUUUGUUUUUUUUUUUCUAGUUUUGUAUUUUUCUUAGUACUUACUUUUUUAAUAAGUUAAAUUAAAAUUUUUAUUAAUACAAAAGUCAUAUCUAAUUAAUUUAAGUAAAAUAACUACCUAUACUAAGUAAGGGAAAGAAAAAAAAAAUCAAGCAUAUAAACGCUUGAAUAUGGCUAUCUACACAAACACACAUGUAAAUGAAGAUGUGAAUCAGAUUACUAAAUUCAGGUUCUUUCAGAGUCUGAAAUACACAGGCCAAUCCAAAGCUGUCCUCAUGAACAAGUCACAUUUGAAUGGGCUGUCAAUGCAUACAGAUUCAUAAUUUUCACCAAACCUCCUACAGGCUAGGGCUGUGCAAAUAAUCAAAUGUCGCCACUUGAAAUGGUUCCUACGUUCAAUAUCGCUGAUGUAUCGCCUGCAAUAAUGAACGUGAUAUUGGCAUAGCUUGUAAGUGAACUACAUUUGAAAGCACGUGAUGGAGAUUAACUACUAAUCACAGAACCGGCUUUACUGACAAGAUGCGCAUGCUAAUUGUAUUCGAUUAUUUGCACAGCCCUACUACAGGCAACACAAAAACAGCGUUGAGAUCGCAAGCAUCCUUUCGUAUUGGCCAGAGAGCCAAGACAAAAAUGGAGGUCAAAAGGACAUGCCAUCAUGAAAUGUAAAUGAACAUUACACAGGUCCAAAUCAUUACAGCAAGUUCAAUCAUUCACUCUGUUUCUCAAACAAACAAACUGUAUCAGCAAGACUGUAGUGGCAAUAUGCUGGAAAGCAUUCUGACAGACUAAAAAUGUCCUUGACAGAAAAAUCCAAAUUAAAUAUAAAGUAGUACACUUCUCAGAGCAGCCAUCAUGCCGGCUGACAAUUCCACCCUGCAGAGGAAAGGGUAAUUUCUUCUGAAUUCAUGCAUAUGUAAUCAUCAAUAUGACCCUGGGGCACGUCAACUCCUCAUACAGCCACUAAAAUUCAAAUGAGAACAGGCUCAAUUCUACAGAGGGCUUUAAAGAAGGGACAUGGUGGAAGCAUGAGAAAAUGUUGUUGGAAUUUUCUUCUCUGUAUAUCAGAUUAACUGGACAUGUAUUCUGAAAUGAAGCUGGCUAACAUUUUCAAAACACACAGUAAACAUUAGUGAUGCAACAAACAAUAAUUUUGAUAAUAGACUAAUCGGCUGUGAUCAAUUACUCAGCUUUUGCAAUGAGUUAAAAUAAUGAGUUACACAGAUUCUAUUCUAGAGCUGAUUCUUAAAGCUGCUUGCUUUAAAGCAUUCUUAUUAUAAAAGUGAUGUGACCUUACUAGAGUGCCUUUCGCAGAGCCUGUGUAAACGUCCACAUCUCUGAUCAAAUGCUUUCUUAACAGAUGCUUUCUCACUGCUGUCAUUUUUGUUGCGUGUUUAUUUUUGAGAAGAAAGCAGCAGCACAUUUUUCCAUGCUCAUCUAAACGCUGCUCUCAGCAGUAUCGCUGCUUGCAAAUAUUGAAAAUACAGAACUUUUUACCCAUAAGCAAAGAACGAAAAAGUGAUGAUGAGUGUAUUGUGAGCAUCAGGGCCUUUACACGACAGCUUUUUUGUUUAUUGUUGUGUAAAUCUUUCCCACCCUAUACUGUUGUCUUAUAUUGUAGGGCCCUAUGAAAUCCAUUUAAUUUUUCCUAAAUUAUGUUUAAUUUUUUGUUUAAAUUUUUCUGGAUUGUUUUUUUUUUUUCAGUUUUGAUUUUUCUUGACUCUUUUUUAAUAGUUAAAUAAAAUUUUUAUUAAUCAAAAAGCAUAUCUAAUUAAUUAAAAUCAAGAAACUUAUACAUUUUUACAUCAGUUUAUUAAAAGUAUAACAAAAAUUAAAAUUGAGGGCUCUAUGGAAUGUUUUAUUUUUUUCUCACCAUAUUUUUUAUGGUACCAAAUUGGUACCAAAUUGGUACCAAAUUCUGUGUUUUAGCAAGUCUAAUUAUUUAAAUGCGUAAAACAACUUAACUUAUUUUUUUUUUCCUUAAAGUAGCCUUAUGAUUUUUUUUCCCCCUCAGAAAUUCUGUGUUGUGUAUUUACAUUUUUCUGGUUAUCAAAUGAAGGCAUAAAAAUUAAUUUCAUUUAUCUUUUAAUUAUUGAAAGUUAAUCAAACUUAAUUUUUUGGCAAACAAAGGGGAUUUACUAUUAAAAUUAAAACAUGGAAGAAAUGUUGUGUGAUUAUUCAUUAAAAAAUAAUGUUUAUUUCAUUUUAGUAGUAGUAGUAGGCUUUGUACACUCUACUGAAAAAUGUCUUCAAAUCAAAUCUGACUUUUAUUUUGACGGGUUGCCGUGAAUACCUUUACAGUUCUGUGUGUGAUAUGACGUUAGUUUUACUCAAAUCAAAUGGUCAAACGCUUAUGAAGUGAUUCUCAGAGCAGUUCUGGAGAUGUUAUUCAUGUGUUUAGCGAGACGGCAGACGCUGAAAUCACUGCGAGCGUCAGGUGUGUGCAUUAUGUGUAACAGUUAGCAGACUACAUGAAACCACGCGUCUGCGCCAUUCAUUAACAGACACGCAGAACAUGCAGGAUUCAUAUUUAAAUCGACUUUUGCGGCUUAAUAUUUACAGAUACUGGUCCGCAUCAUGAUUUGAUUUAAGUGUAAUGACCUACUUUUGAUUAAUUCAUUUAAAAAUUGGUCAAAUUCCGUGUCAUUCUGUCUUAAACUGUGAAUUCCGAUUUUAUGACUGGAUACCGCAAUUCCGUCCGUGUUUUCGGCAUUGCGGAAAUCAUAGGGCCCUACUAUUGGACUGCAGUCAGGACUAUUAAAAAUUAAAAUAGUUUAUUUUCUAUUUAGUUAGUAGUAGUAGGCUUUGUACACUCUACUGAAAAAUGUCUUCAAAUCAAAUCUGACUUUUAUUUUGACGGGUUGCCGUGAAUACCUUUACAGUUCUGUGUGUGAUAUGACGUUAGUUUUACUCAAAUCAAAUGGUCAAACGCUUAUGAAGUGAUUCUCAGAGCAGUUCUGGAGAUGUUAUUCAUGUGUUUAGCGAGACGGCAGACGCUGAAAUCACUGCGAGCGUCAGGUGUGUGCAUUAUGUGUAACAGUUAGCAGACUACAUGAAACCACGCGUCUGCGCCAUUCAUUAACAGACACGCAGAACAUGCAGGAUUCAUAUUUAAAUCGACUUUUGCGGCUUAAUAUUUACAGAUACUGGUCCGCAUCAUGAUUUGAUUUAAGUGUAAUGACCUACUUUUGAUUAAUUCAUUUAAAAAUUGGUCAAAUUCCGUGUCAUUCUGUCUUAAACUGUGAAUUCCGAUUUUAUGACUGGAUACCGCAAUUCCGUCCGUGUUUUCGGCAUUGCGGAAAUCAUAGGGCCCUACUAUUGGACUGCAGUCAGGAGGGGUGAUUUACAAUUUUGUGUUACAGUGCCACACUGGCAAAACAUUAAAUUUGAAAAAAAAAAAAAAAUCUGACCAAAAAAAAAAUAAAAAAAUAAAAAAAUAAAAUAAAAUCUCCCAGCUCUAGAUCUCACUCAUUUAUUUAUUUUUACUGAUUUAACUACUUGCAAAAAAAUUUUUCAUGAGCAAAGAUCCAAGACUUUUUCUAUGUACAAUAAAGGCCUAUUUCUAUCAAAUACUGUUCACAAAUCUGUCUAAAUCUGUGUUAGUGAGCACUUCCUUUGCCGAGAUCAUCCAUCCACCUCACAGGUGUGGCAUAUCAAGAUGCUGAUUAGACAGCAUGAUUAUUGCACAGGUGUGCCUUAGGCUGGCCACAAUAAAAGGCCACUCUAAAAUGAGCAGUUUUAUCACACAGCACUAUGCCACAGAUGUUGCAAGUUCUGAGGGAGCAUGCAAUUGGCAUGCUGACUGCAGGAAUGUCCCCUAGAGCUGUUGACCAUGAAUUGAAUGUUCAUUUCUCUACCAAUAGCUGUCUCCAAAGGCGUUUCAG